UGCUAGUGUGGUGUAGUGGUUUGAGAGUUGGACUGUGACUCUGGAGACCAGGGUUCACAUCCCUGCUUGGCCA